rnacentral:rRNA from 1 species
GUGGCCUAGAGAGUAGAACCGCUAGGCGGCGACGGUACUUAACACAUGACAAGGUCGGAGGGGCAUACGAAGGUACACGAAAGUGUAUUGUUGGCGACCGGCGGACGGGUGAGUAAUAGGUAGGUAACCUACCUCAUACUGAGGCAUAGCUGGGAGAAAUUCCAGGUAAUUCCUCAUGAGGUUAUAUGAAUAGAGGCAUAUAAUCAAAGCAUAAGUGAUUAUGCGGUAUGAGAGGGGCCUACUGACCAUUAGCUAGUUGGUGAGGUAAGGGCUCACCAAGGCGAAGAUGGUUAGGGGUUUUGAGAGAGAGACCCCCCACAUUGGAACUGAGAGACGGUCCAGACUCCUACGGGAGGCAGCAGUAGGGAAUAUUGGGCAAUGGGCGAAAGCCUGACCCAGCCAUGCCGCGUGAAGGAAGAAGGCCCUACGGGUUGUAAACUUCUUUUCUGUUUGAAGAAUAAGCUCGUCGAGACGAGUGAUGCCGGUAGGACAGGAAUAAGCAUCGGCUAACUCCGUG